rnacentral:rRNA from 1 species
UACGUAGGGUGCAAGCGUUGUCCGGAAUUAUUGGGCGUAAAGAGCGUGUAGGCGGCCUGACAAGUCUGCUGUGAAAACUCGAGGCUCAACCUCGAGAUGUCGGCGGAAACUGUCUGGCUAGAGUCCGGAAGAGGAGAGUGGAAUUCCCAGUGUAGCGGUGAAAUGCGCAGAUAUUGGGAGGAACACCAGCGGCGAAGGCGGCACUCUGGGCUGGUACUGACGCUGAGGAGCGAAAGCGUGGGUAGCGAACAGG